rnacentral:rRNA from 1 species
AAGUAGGGGGCAAGCGUUGUCCGGAUUCACUGGGUGUAAAGGGCGCGCAGGCGGGAUAGCAAGUCAGAGGUGAAAUACUACAGCUUAACUGUAGAACUGCCUUUGACACUGUUAAUCUUGAGUGCGGAAGAGAGAGACGGAAUUCCAGGUGUAGCGGUGAAAUGCGUAGAUAUCUGGAAGAACACCAGUUGCGAAAGCGGUCUCUUGGUCCGUUACUGACGCUCAGGCGCGAAAGCGUGGGGAGCAAACAGGAUUAGAUACCCUGGUAGUCCACGCCCUAAACGAUGAAUACUAGGUGUUGGUCUUUUUUAGAUCAGUGCCGCAGCUAACGCAUUAAGUAUUCCACCUGGGGAGUACGAUCGCAAGGUUGAAACUCAA